UGUAUCACUCUAUGACUCUAACUUACUGCAACAGGAAAGAAACAGAUUGAGGUUGGAAAAUAUAUAUAAAUGCCACUUUCCAUCCUUGCAGUAAAUUAGAGUCAUAGAGUGA